AGAAGCGGGACUGUGUGGCUCCGGUCGCUGAAUCCUCAGUGCGGUACAGAGAGUGAAAUUCUCCGCAUCACCCGACAAGCAGCCCAGAGGAGAGAGAAUCUGACCCCGGCAGAAGACAACUAACCGAGCGGUGAGCCAGGCAGCGGUGUAGAGCGGAAGGACUGCUGACGGCUUGCAGACACGCCGGGAGGAGGUACGGAGGCGGGCUGGAAGGCGGAGCGGCAGCUGACUGACAGCCGGGAAGAAGAGCGGAGGUGCGGCUGACAGCCUGCGGACACGCCUGGAGGAGGUACGGAGGCGGGCUGGAAGGCGGAGCGGCAGCUGACUGACAGCCGGGAAGAAUAGCGGAGGUGCGGCUGACGGCCUGCGGACACGCCUGGAGGAGGUGCGGGGGCGGGCUGGAAGUCGGAGCAGCUGCUGACGGCCAGAGCCGGCCAGAGGGAACAGCUGUGGGCAGCCCUGUUACCCGAACAGGCGGUGCAGGAGCAGCAGCGGGAUCCCUAUUAAGGGGACCUGAUAUAGGAGAGAGUCAUUACUACCAGCAACAAGGGUUCCAGUAUAAUAAAUAUUGUUAAAAUGGGUUACACUGUUGUUGACACUAUUGGUUGUGUUGUUAGAGUUAAAUAAUCAUAUCUUUACAAGUGUCUUAAAUUCUUCUGUUGUAAAGAACCAACCUCAUUAAAUACAUUGUUUGAAAUCAUCA